GUUAAUCUCACCAUUGUUAGCCCGAGCCGGUCCGAGUCAGGCGUUCACUUCUUUUCUGACGACGGUAGAAAAGGAGAGAAAAUACAGCUUUCCCUGUCCGUCACCGCAAACCAGUUCAGAGGGUUUUUCCGGGUUCACCUCCAAAACCAGCACAGGACCUCCACACACAAACAUACCCAGCUGGAGGAGAAGAGAGUACAAAAUAGGAAGAGCCGGAGAUGAUGGUGUUGUUGAUGACUCUCAGCACACUGAUCCUGUCACUGUGGGCCUGAGGAUAAAACAUCAACAAACACUGAUGUGAAACGGAACUGAUUGUUCACAUCAGAGUCAAGAGUCGCUUACAGGUUUUCUGCUGCUCCAUGAGGAAAGUUCUGGA